rnacentral:rRNA from 1 species
UGCAGUCGAGCGGACAGAAGGGAGCUUGCUCCCGGAUGUUAGCGGCGGACGGGUGAGUAACACGUGGGUAACCUGCCUGUAAGACUGGGAUAACUCCGGGAAACCGGAGCUAAUACCGGAUAGUUCCUUGAACCGCAUGGUUCAAGGAUGAAAGACGGUUUCGGCUGUCACUUACAGAUGGACCCGCGGCGCAUUAGCUAGUUGGUGAGGUAACGGCUCACCAAGGCGACGAUGCGUAGCCGACCUGAGAGGGUGAUCGGCCACACUGGGACUGAGACACGGCCCAGACUCCUACGGGAGGCAGCAGUAGGGAAUCUUCCGCAAUGGACGAAAGUCUGACGGAGCAACGCCGCGUGAGUGAUGAAGGUUUUCGGAUCGUAAAGCUCUGUUGUUAGGGAAGAACAAGUGCAAGAGUAACUGCUUGCACCUUGACGGUACCUAACCAGAAAGCCACGGCUAACUACGUGCCAGCAGCCGCGGUAAUACGUAGGUGGCAAGCGUUGUCCGGAAUUAUUGGGCGUAAAGGGCUCGCAGGCGGUUUCUUAAGUCUGAUGUGAAAGCCCCCGGCUCAACCGGGGAGGGUCAUUGGAAACUGGGAAACUUGAGUGCAGAAGAGGAGAGUGGAAUUCCACGUGUAGCGGUGAAAUGCGUAGAGAUGUGGAGGAACACCAGUGGCGAAGGCGACUCUCUGGUCUGUAACUGACGCUGAGGAGCGAAAGCGUGGG